rnacentral:misc_RNA from 1 species
GAUGAAGAACGCAGCGAAAUGCGAUAAGUAGUGUGAAUUGCAGAUUUCAGUGAAUCAUCGAAUCUUUGAACGCACAUUGCGCCCCUUGGUAUCCCGAGGGGCAUGCCUGUUCGAGCGUCAUUUCACCACUCAAGCCUGGCUUGGUGUUGGGCGACGUCCUCUUUGGGGACGCGCCUCGAAACGCUCGGCGGCGUGGCACCGGCUUUAAGCGUAGCAGAAUCUUUCGCUUUGGAAGUCGGGGCCCCGUCUGCCGAAAGACCUGCUCGCAAGGUUGACCUCGGAUCAGGCAGGGAUACCCGCUGAACUUAAGCAUAUCAAUAAGCGGAGGA